UAGGGAAUCUUCCACAAUGGGCGCAAGCCUGAUGGAGCAACGCCGCGUGUGUGAUGAAGGCUUUCGGGUCGUAAAGCACUGUUGUAUGGGAAGAAAUGCUAAAAUAGGGAAUGAUUUUAGUUUGACGGUACCAUACCAGAAAGGGACGGCUAAAUACGUGCCAGCAGCCGCGGUAAUACGUAUGUCCCGAGCGUUAUCCGGAUUUAUUGGGCGUAAAGCGAGCGCAGACGGUUGAUUAAGUCUGAUGUGAAAGCCCGGAGCUCAACUCCGGAAUGGCAUUGGAAACUGGUUAACUUGAGUGUUGUAGAGGUAAGUGAAACACCAUGUGUAGCGGUGGAAUGCGUAACUAUAUGGAAGAACACCAGUGGCGAAGGCGGCUUACUGGACAACAACAGACGUUGAGGCUCGAAAGUGUGGGUAGCAAACAGG
rnacentral:rRNA from 1 species